CCAUUCCCUCUGGACUUGUCGCGCCGCCGCCAAGGCCCGCCCCACUGACCGUGGCGCCUGAAGGGGCGGAGGAAAGCGCUUCCGCGCAAGCGCGUUCGCGUGCUCUUGCCUUCUAGAGAAGUUACUGCGCAGGUUCGCGUGGAACCUACGGAGAGACCAGUAGGUCUUGGAGGGCUAGGUUUGUCACUUUUCUGGACUUUUUACAAUUUUUAAUGCCACCGACUACUACUUACUGGACGCAUGUGGUACACCGGCCACAAUGCUAACCAUACAAUUACAGCGUUCACUCAACGUGAUUCCUUUGAUGGGAGCAGAGAAAUUGUUACCACAUUUUCCACAAUUUGACCACCGCUUCCCACCCUCCAACUUGGUUUGCUAUUCUCCCCUUCCCAGAAAGUUUAGCGCACUUCGCAAGGCCGCGUUAUGACUUUCGUGUAACCGCGACACAUUGGCCUUGUGUUUGUGGAGUCCUAGAUUGGAGCGCAGCAAAGAGAUGUUCAUCAUCAGCAUGUGGUGUAAAUGACACAAGCUGGCGGUCAGCUGGAAGAUACAGCAAAUGUACAAGGGGCUACCCAUUCCUAGGGAGAGAGAAUUGGGAUCACUCCAGACACAGAGAGACAGAACAUGAGUGGGGGAGGGGCAGAGAGAGAGG